CAGCAGCCGCGGUAAUACGUAGGUGGCAAGCGUUGUCCGGAAUUAUUGGGCGUAAAGCGCGCGCAGGCGGUCCUUUAAGUCUGAUGUGAAAUCUUGCGGCUCAACCGCAAGCGGUCAUUGGAAACUGGGGGACUUGAGUGCAGGAGAGGAAAGCGGAAUUCCAUGUGUAGCGGUGAAAUGCGUAGAGAUAUGGAGGAACACCAGUGGCGAAGGCGGCUUUCUGGCCUGUAACUGACGCUGAGGCGCGAAAGCGUGGGGAGCAAACAGGAUUAGAUACCCUGGUAGUCCACGCCGUAAACGAUGAGUGCUAAGUGUUGGAGGGUUUCCGCCCUUCAGUGCUGCAGCAAACGCAUUAAGCACUCCGCCUGGGGAGUACGGUCGCAAGACUGAAACUCAAAGGAAUUGACGG
rnacentral:rRNA from 1 species